rnacentral:misc_RNA from 1 species
GUGAAUCAUCGAAUUUUUGAACGCAAAUUGCACUCUCUGGUAUUCCGGAGAGUAUGCCUGUUUGAGGGUCAGUUUAAAUAAAAAUCGGUGUGGUUGCUGCCCUUCUUGGUCACGCACCGGAUGUGGGUCGUCUGGCCUUCGGUUAAGUGACCGCAAAUUUAGCAUGAUGUUUUCGUAUGUAUGUAAAUGAUUUUGCGUAGGAUAGCGAUAUCGAAGACUAGGGGCGGUCA